rnacentral:misc_RNA from 1 species
GAUGAAGAACGUAGCGAAAUGCGAUAAAUAAUGUGAAUUGCAGAAUUCAGUGAAUCAUCGAGUCUUUGAACGCACAUUGCGCCCCCUGGUAUUCCGGGGGGCAUGCCUGUCCGAGCGUCAUUUCAACCCUCAAGCCCCCGGGCUUGGUGUUGGGGAUCGGCGAGCCUCCGCGCCCGCCGUCCCCUAAAUCUAGUGGCGGUCUCGCUGUAGCUUCCUCUGCGUAGUAGCACACCUCGCACUGGGAAACAGCGCGGCCACGCCGUUAAACCCCCAACUUCUGAACGUUUGACCUCGGAUCAGGUAGGAAUACCCGCUGAACUUAAGCAUAUCAAUAAGCGGAGGA